rnacentral:rRNA from 1 species
ACAGGUGCUGCAUGGCUGUCGUCAGCUCGUGUCGUGAGAUGUUGGGUUAAGUCCCGCAACGAGCGCAACCCUUAUCAUUAGUUGCUACGCAAGGGCACUCUAAUGAGACUGCCGGUGACAAACCGGAGGAAGGUGGGGAUGACGUCAAGUCCUCAUGGCCCUUAUGGGUAGGCUUCACACGUCAUACAAUGGUCGGUACAGAGGGUUGCCAAGCCGCGAGGUGGAGCCAAUCCCAGAAAGCCGAUCGUAGUCCGGAUUGUUCUCUGCAACUCGAGAGCAUGAAGUCGGAAUCGCUAGUAAUCGCGGAUCAGCAUGUCGCGGUGAAUACGUUCCCGGGUCUU